rnacentral:rRNA from 1 species
UACGUAGGGGGCAAGCGUUGUUCGGAAUUACUGGGCGUAAAGGGCUCGUAGGUGGCCAACUAAGUCAGACGUGAAAUCCCACGGCUCAACCGUGGAAGUGCACUCGAAACUGCAUAGCUAGAGUCCUGGAGAGGAAGGUGGAAUGCUUGGUGUAGAGGUGAAAUUCGUAGAUAUCAAGCGGAACACCGGUGGCGAAGGCGGCCUCUGGACAGUGACUGACGCUGAGACGCGAAAAGCGUGGGGGAGCAAACAGG